rnacentral:rRNA from 1 species
CCUACGGGUGGCAGCAGUGGGGAAUAUUGCACAAUGGGGGAAACCCUGAUGCAGCAACGCCGCGUGGGUGAAGAAGUAUCUCGGUAUGUAAAGCUCUAUCAGCAGGGAAGAGAAUGACGGUACCUGACUAAGAAGCCCCGGCUAACUACGUGCCAGCAGCCGCGGUAAUACGUAGGGGGCAAGCGUUAUCCGGAUUUACUGGGUGUAAAGGGAGCGUAGGCGGGGCGGUAAGUCUGAUGUGAAAGCCCGGGGCUCAACCGCGGGACGGCAUUGGAAACUGUGGUGCUGGAGUGUUGGAGGGGUAAGUGGAAUUCCUAGUGUAGCGGUGAAAUGCGUAGAGAUUAGGAGGAACACCAGUGGCGAAGGCGGCUUGCUGGACGACAACUGACGCUGAGGCUCGAAAGCGUGGGGAGCAAACAGGAUUAGAUACCCGAGUAGUC